ACCUCUAAACGCUAAACCUAUAAACCCUUUCUUUUUCAACGUCAAACCCUUCCUUUUCUUCUCCAACGUUAAACCCUUCCUUCUUUAGCCCUUCCUUCUCAAACCUUUCCUUCUCAAACGAAGAACAUCACCGAUUUGAAGAAUACCACCGCUACUUCGUUCAUUGUUCUUGAAGACUUAGUGUUCAACGACGAACAACACCAUGACGACGAGCAACAUAACCUCUAUCUUCUUGAAGUUGUGAUCUUUGUUCUUCAGAAGUUUGCAAGAUUUUCAUUACUUACAUGAAUCAAGAAACACAAAAAAUGACAACUCGUCUAAAGGUGUUUCUUUGUCUUCUUCUUCAAUAAAAUCUCGAUCUGGAAAAUUUUGUGGGUGUGAUGGUCGUAUGGUUUCGUACCAAUGCAAGAAGGGACAAAAUAAAGGAAGGCUUUUGUGGAGAUGUCCAUUUUGGAGAAGUGAUGAGACAUGUAAUUUGUUCAUAUGGGAUGAAGACAUGGGAGAAAAAGGUGGAAAUGAAGAUGGGAGCAUUAUGAAGUCAGAGUUGGAAGGUAUGGAAGCUAUGGAUUACUUGAUGGUUAUGUUUGAAGAUUCAAAGAAGAAGAACAAGAAUUUGAAGAACAAGCUGAAAUCAGAGAAA